UACGUAGGUGGCAAGCGUUGUCCGGAUUUAUUGGGUUUAAAGGGUGCGUAGGCGGCCCUGUAAGUCAGUGCUGAAAUACCCCGGCUUAACCGGGGGGUGGCAUUGAUACUGCAGGGCUUGAGUACAGAUGAGGUAGGCGGAAUUGACGGUGUAGCGGUGAAAUGCAUAGAUAUCGUCAAGAACACCGAUAGCGAAGGCAGCUUACUGGGCUGUAACUGACGCUGAUGCACGAAAGUGUGGGGAUCAAACAGG
rnacentral:rRNA from 1 species